rnacentral:rRNA from 1 species
AGUAACGGCGAGUGAAGCGGCAAAAGCUCAGAUUUGAAAUCAGGUGCGAUCCCCGCGCCCGAGUUGUAAUCUGGAGAGGAUGCUCCGGCGAGGCCGGCCGCCCAAGUUCCUUGGAACAGGACGUCUUAGAGGGUGAGAACCCCGUACCCGGCGGCCCGGUUUAGCCAUGUGGAGCUCCCUCGACGAGUCGAGUUGUUUGGG